rnacentral:lncRNA from 1 species
GUCCCCUCGUGGACCAGGCUCUGACCUUGGGCUCUGUCCUGGGCUGGCUCCGUUUGAGCAAAUCCUGCUGAGCCUGCUUGGGGAAACCCACCCUGACUCCUGACGUUUCCACUUAGGAAUUUCUGUCCACAGGCCCCACCCCUGCUCCGGGGCUGUCAGCUCCCACCCAUCCCUGUACUCGGAUUUGAGCCCCAUCUCUCUCCUUUUCUGCAAAACCUCACUGGAGUGGGCCCUUGAAUAAUGCCUCUUCACACCCUUAACAAGAAUUUCCUUUUUUUCUUUACCAAGCAUCCCAACCUACCAUUUCAGCCUGCUCAGGCUGCUGGGACAAAAUACCACAGGCUCGGGGGCUUGAAACAACAGAAAUCUAUUUUCUCCCAGUUCUGGAGGCUGCAAGUCUCAGGUCAAGGUUCCCGCUGGUUCCGUUUCUGCAGAGGCUCCUUCCUGGCUCCACAGCACCGAUGCCCUUUACCUGCCCUCUUUGAAGGCAGACCUUUCGAAUAUUUUUUAUCAAAUAUUUAUUAACAGGUAUUACAACAUGAUUCAAAGAUCAAGGUAACAUAUAAAAAGGCUAGGCACAGUGGCUCAUGGCUCUAACCCCAGCGUGUUGGGAGGCCGAGGCUGGAGAAUUGCUUGAGCCCAGAAGUUGAAGACCCGCCUGGACAACGUAGUGAGACCCCAGCUCUAACAAAAAUAAAAAUUAGCUGGGAAUGGUGGCACACACUUGUAGUCCAAAUCCUAGGUUAAAGACCCUUGUUUACUGUUGAGGUACUGCUUUUAAUAUACACGAAUCUGUGCAUAUUUAGGUUUAGAGAACAGCUCUGUCAGCUGCGGGCAGAGACAGCGGUCCACUUGCCCUGUUUCCCACUUCAUUCAUAUUUGUCUUUGUCCAAAACCCUACCACCAUAUACUGGCGGCUUCCCGUAUCACCAAAGAAUCUUAAUUUGGGGGCGUAUUUUGAUGAAAGUUGUUCUUUGACAAAUACUUAUGUCAACACAAUAUCAGAGUCACCUUGUGCCAAUUCCUGUCUCUCAAUGGGCAAUUAAGAACCAAAGCUGCUUGAACGAGCUGGCCAGCAUAGUCAACGCCUUCUGUGUGCCAGGAGACACAAUGCAGGCAGAUGCAGCCGGCCCUCCCCAUGUUACCCCU